AUUGUUCAACGGCCGCGGUAUCCUGACCGUGCGAAGGUAGCAUAAUCACUUGUUCUUUAAAUGGGGACUAGUAUGAAAGGCACCACGAGGGCUUUACUGUCUCCUUUCUCCAAUCAGUGAAACUGAUCUCCCUGUGAAAAAGCAGGAAUACUAAUAUAAGACGAGAAGACCCCAUGGAGCUUUAAACCCAAUGACAACCCGAACACCCCCAACCCAUUAGAGUUUUAUAAGUACUGUCCAUUGGUUUUAGGUUGGGGUGACCGCGGAGAACAAAAUAACCUCCAUGACGAACGGGACUAACCCCUAAUCCAAGAGCCACAGCUCUAAGAAUUAACAUAUUAACGUUAACUGAUCCAAUCAAUUGAUCAACGAACCAAGUUACCCUGGGGAUAACAGCGCAAUCCAUUUUGAGAGCCCCUAUCGAAAAAUGGGUUUACGACCUCGAUGUUGGAUCAGGGUACCCAGGUGGUGCAGCCGCUACCAAUGGUUUGUUUGUUCAACAAUUAAAACCCUACGU
rnacentral:rRNA from 1 species